rnacentral:sRNA from 12 species
AUUGCCCUGCUUCCCGCGAAGGCCCAAGUACCACUUGGGAGUUUGUAGCGGUGGCGGGGUAGC